rnacentral:rRNA from 1 species
GACGAGCGCUGGCGGCGUGCUUAACACAUGCAAGUCGAACGGAAAGGCCCUGCUUGCAGGGUACUCGAGUGGCGAACGGGUGAGUAACACGUGGGUGAUCUGCCCUGCACUUCGGGAUAAGCCUGGGAAACUGGGUCUAAUACCGGAUAGGAGCCAUUUUUAGUGUGAUGGUUGGAAAGUUUUUUCGGUGUAGGAUGAGCUCGCGGCCUAUCAGCUUGUUGGUGGGGUAAUGGCCUACCAAGGCGGCGACGGGUAGCCGGCCUGAGAGGGUGGACGGCCACAUUGGGACUGAGAUACGGCCCAGACUCCUACGGGAGGCAGCAGUGGGGAAUAUUGCACAAUGGGCGCAAGCCUGAUGCAGCGACGCCGCGUGGGGGAUGACGGCCUUCGGGUUGGAAACUCCUUUCGCUAGGGACGAAGCUUUUUGUGACGGUACCUAGAGAAGAAGCACCGGCUAACUACGUG